rnacentral:lncRNA from 1 species
GAACUUGGUUUUCCCUCCAUUCUGCCAUGAAGUCGACCAGACGUUGGGAUUUGAUAGCUGUUCUAGGUUUGAAGUCUAGAGAUAGAGCUCCGAGUUCUACCACCCAUUUGGAGAUUGAUGAGGACACCACGAGUACAUCUACACCAGCAGCACCUCAGGCGCCUCCAGUUGCUUCUCCACCUUAGGCGCCUACAGUUGAUCAUCCAGUUGGGUCAAUCACUCGGGCUUGUGCGAGAGAAUUAAACUUCAUCAUGCUAUUAAGGAACAAAGGCCCAGCAGAAUAAGAAGAUGGCCCAACAGGGCAGCCCAGGUGGGGUGCCUAGGGUUGGGAGCCGCGGCCCUCCCCCUGUUCGCGCGCGCCCCCCUCCUGCCGUGGCGCCUCCUCCGGACUCAAGGGGCUGCGCCCCCUUUAUUUAGUCGGAGUCCCUUUUGUUUACAACUUGAGUUUUGUUUUACAUCUAGCUUUAGCUACUCUCGAACACGCGCAAAUACGCGCUGUCCUUGUGUGAUUCAGAACUCCACCUUCGAGUGAUAUUUAGAUUGCUCGCCUCUUUUUCUUGUU